GAGCAGAAACACACCAUCUAUUCUUGUUUUACAGUAUCAGAGGAAUCAAAACCUACAACUCCCAUCAGCUAGAAAAUUUACAAGAGUAACGUACCUGUAUGCUACUGGCUUUGUGCUGCUGCUUAAGAAAAGAUGACAAACUGGAUUCUGGCAACUAGAAAGCUUUCUCACACAUCUCUUACAGUUGUCUCCACUUACACUGCGCUACAGGCUAUGCUGACAUGACAGCUCAAGUUGUCAGGACAAUAGAACUUAAUGGGCAAGCUAUUAUGGACAGAUUACCAGCCCACUGCCAGAUAUAACAUGUGGCAUGCACACCUAUGGGCAAUUUGAAGGACUGCCAGUUCAACUAUGGGACACCUUGGCAGUGUGGCAACAGACUACUGGAUUUGAAAGAAACUCACAGAGACACAGGAAUGAAGUUCAGACUGCACACAGAAGGCACCGAAAGUAUGGGGAGCCACCUGCUCUGAGACACCAAUGUGUAUUUUUUUUGCAUUUCUAAGAAUGCCUUGAUCAUUCAUUUACUUUCAUGGAAUUUCUCAUGCCUUUUCCAUACAAUCUGCAUAGGCUGCUGUUCAAUUCAUUCACCUUACAUACUUUUUAUCUUAAGUAAGCUUGUAAAAUACUAAUUCCACAUGCUUAUUAAAAUGAAUGUUUACUCAACAGAUAUU